rnacentral:rRNA from 1 species
GAUGAACGCUGGCGGCGUGCCUAAUACAUGCAAGUCGAGCGAACAGAUGAGGAGCUUGCUCCUCUGACGUUAGCGGCGGACGGGUGAGUAACACGUGGAUAACCUACCUAUAAGACUGGGAUAACUUCGGGAAACCGGAGCUAAUACCGGAUAAUAUAUUGAACCGCAUGGUUCAAUAGUGAAAGACGGUUUUGCUGUCACUUAUAGAUGGAUCCGCGCCGCAUUAGCUAGUUGGUAAGGUAACGGCUUACCAAGGCAACGAUGCGUAGCCGACCUGAGAGGGUGAUCGUCCACACUGGAACUGAGACACGGUCCAGACUCCUACGGGAGGCAGCAGUAGGGAAUCUUCCGCAAUGGGCGAAAGCCUGACGGAGCAACGCCGCGUGAGUGAUGAAGGUCUGCGGAUCGUAAAACUCUGUUAUUAGGGAAGAACAAAUGUGUAAGUAACUAUGCACGUCUUGACGGUACCUAAUCAGAAAGCCACGGCUAACUACGUG